rnacentral:misc_RNA from 1 species
CCUUUUCUAAGAUUCGGGGUUGCAUGGUCUCCAUGCUCCCUGUCUCCAUCCGUGUUUUUGCGUACUUGAUGUUUCCUCGGUAGGCUUGCCUGCCGGUUGGACAACCUUAAAACUCUUUUGCAAUUGCAAUCAGCGUCUGAAUAACCUAAUCGUUA